rnacentral:rRNA from 1 species
GAUGAACGCUGGCGGCGUGCCUAAUACAUGCAAGUCGAGCGAACGGACGAGAAGCUUGCUUCUCUGAUGUUAGCGGCGGACGGGUGAGUAACACGUGGAUAACCUACCUAUAAGACUGGGAUAACUUCGGGAAACCGGAGCUAAUACCGGAUAAUAUUUUGAACCGCAUGGUUCAAAAGUGAAAGACGGUCUUGCUGUCACUUAUAGAUGGAUCCGCGCUGCAUUAGCUAGUUGGUAAGGUAACGGCUUACCAAGGCAACGAUGCAUAGCCGACCUGAGAGGGUGAUCGGCCACACUGGAACUGAGACACGGUCCAGACUCCUACGGGAGGCAGCAGUAGGGAAUCUUCCGCAAUGGGCGAAAGCCUGACGGAGCAACGCCGCGUGAGUGAUGAAGGUCUUCGGAUCGUAAAACUCUGUUAUUAGGGAGGAACAUAUGUGUAAGUAACUGUGCACAUCUUGACGGUACCUAAUCAAAAAGCCACGGCUAACUACGUG